rnacentral:rRNA from 1 species
UACGUAGGGCGCAAGCGUUAUCCGGAAUUAUUGGCGUAAAAGAGCUCGUAGGCGGUUUGUCGCGUCUGCCGUGAAAGUCCGGGGCCUCAACUCCCGGAUCUGCGGUGGGUACGGGCAGGACUAGAGUGAUGUAGGGGGAGGACUGGAAUUCCUGGUGUAGCGGUGAAAAUGCGCAGAUAUCAGGAGGAACACCGAUGGCGAAGGCAGGGUCUCUGGGCAUUAACUGACGCUGAGGAGCGAAAAGCAUGGGGGAGCGAACAGG